GUGAAACAUUAUUUAUUUGUAUCUUUGAUUCAUUUAACAUGUCUGGUUAAACAUGACUUGAUGUUGGAAUCAUAGGUCAGAUUAGUUGAGAAAAACCAGCAAAAUCAAGAAGACUCUGUUAUCCUCUAAACGACACCGUUACGGUUAACUCUUUUGUUUCACACGUACCGGUUUCUACUGUAUUUGAUUUAAACCGAAACAUCUUCACCACACUCGAAGUCUCUCUUUCACCUAGAGGCUCUCUCCGUUUUUUGCCUGGAAGAAGAAUAAGAAGAAGAGAUGCGAGCAAUUCACACGCAAUUGAGCUCCUGGUUCGGUUGUGACUCACUGAAUCCAUUGGUGGUGACUGAAGACUUUGAAAAGAUCGAGAUGUGAAUCUCCUAAAGGAACUCUUGAGGAUAUGCGACUCAAAUUGAUACACUCUAUGAAUAUGCUAUAUUUUGUAGGUGUGUUGUUUCUGAUUGUAGCCCAGAGUACUCCUCCUUAUAUGGGUUUCUGCAAUUCCUCUGUUGGUUAGAUGAAAUAUUGAAUUCUGUGUUCAAAGUUAAAACCUUUACUUUGCUUUGAAGGUGUCACGGUUAUUUCGAGUCGAUUUUCCAGAGUUAAAUACGGAGGCAUUGUUCAUUAGAAAAGAAGUGACCAAGUUUAGAUGGAGGCCAUUGUUCAUUCUUAGCAUUUGUAUCUACUGUUUAGAUAGCUUGAACUAUAGCAACCUUGUUGUGUAUUUGUACAACAACCUCCCAAGGAGAAAGGUUGGCAAGUAAUGCCACUUUUGAUCAAGAGUUGUCCAAAUCUACACACUUUAGUCUUCAAGGGUCUUGCAACCCUAAGAAGCAGAGGAAGAUUGUAAAGAAAGAGGAGGCAUUAUGUUGUUUAUUGACAUGUCAAGUGAAGGUGCUUCAGAUUUUAGAAUAUGGAGGUUCUUUUCAAGAGCUGGAACAGAUGAGACGUUUCUUUGGGCAAGUUGGAACUUCUGAUAGAGUGUGUUGAUUAUUUCAAGGCUUACAAUACAUGGUGCCCGUAAAUUAAUGCUACAACAAAUCGACACCUCAGGCCAUUCAAAGGGAAAUAGCCAUUUAAAAAAAUAAAACAAGUGUAUUUUUGCUUGCUUAUUUAAGAGCUAAGAUCUAUGUAUGUGUAUGUUUCCUUUGUUUAAGAAUUAGUCUCUCUAUGUUGUUGAAGAACUAUGUAUCUCUUUGUUUAAGAAUUAAAAACUCAGUUACCAAA